rnacentral:lncRNA from 10 species
GCUGGGUGCAGAGCAAAGGGGCCUCGCAGAGACCACACAACGCCGAGUGCUCGCGAGGUGGCCCACGACGACCCCCACCCCACCGUGCUCCCGAGCCUCAGCAUCCUCAUCUCUGUGACAGGUCUAAUUAUGUGGGUUAAUUAGACCUGUGUAAUUAUUAACUAGGUGUCUCAGCCGAGUUGUCUGACUCCGACAUGAAGUGUCUAACACUGCGUAGCCCACGGUAGGCAUUCAGGAAGCAGCACAAUGGCUGGCAUCCCCUCGGCUCGCCCCAGAAGGGAGGGAGGGCGAAUUCCGACUCAGGCAGGCAGAGUAAACUCAAGGCUUGGGUGAGCCAGGCUGGGUGGUGGUGGUCGCACUGAUCUCCAAGGGGCGGAAUAUCAUUGAAAUAGCUUGGAGAGGUUUCUCUCCUGCUGAAGCAAAGGCAGCCAUGAGCACACAUUUAUAAAAAUCGCUGGCAUUAGACUUGUUUCUUUGGAGAAUUUUUGAGAUGUGCAAGUAUGACUGUAAUCAGCUGAAAUGCUGAAACCACACAAUUCAAAGUGAGGGACUGUUUUCUGGGAACUGAUUUUUUAUUUUAUUUUAGAAAAUUUGGCCGGGCACCGUGGCUCACGCCUGUUAUCCCAGCACUUUGGGAGGCCGAGGCGGGCGGAUCACCUGAGGUUAGGAGUUCGAGACCAGCCUGGCUAACACGGUGAAACCCCGUCCCUACUAAAAAUACAAAAUUAGCUGGAUGUGGUGGUCGGCACCUGUAAUCCCAGCUACUUAGCAGGCUGAGGCAGGAGAAUCACUUGAACCUGGGAGGCAGGGGUUGCAGUGAGCUGAGAUCACGACAUUGCACUCCAGCCUGGCUGACAAGAGCG